rnacentral:rRNA from 1 species
UACGUAGGGGACUAGCGUUAUCCGGAAUUACUGGGCGUAAAGGGUGCGUAGGUGGUUUCUUAAGUCAGAGGUGAAAGGCUACGGCUCAACCGUAGUAAGCCUUUGAAACUGGGAAACUUGAGUGCAGGAGAGGAGAGUGGAAUUCCUAGUGUAGCGGUGAAAUGCGUAGAUAUUAGGAGGAACACCAGUUGCGAAGGCGGCUCUCUGGACUGUAACUGACACUGAGGCACGAAAGCGUGGGGAGCAAACAGGAUUAGAUACCCGCGUAGUCCCUGAG